rnacentral:rRNA from 1 species
GACGAACGCUGGCGGCGUGCCUAAUACAUGCAAGUGGGACGCAAGGAAACACACUGUGCUUGCACACCGUGUUUUCUUGAGUCGCGAACGGGUGAGUAACGCGUAGGUAACCUGCCUAUUAGCGGGGGAUAAUUAUUGGAAACAUAGCUAAUACCGCAUAAUAUUAAUUAUUGCAUGAUAAUUGAUUGAAAGAUGCAAGCGCAUCACUAGUAGAUGGACCUGCGUUGUAUUAGCUAGUGGUAAGGUAAGAGCUUACCAAGGCGACGAUACAUAGCCGACCUGAGAGGGUGAUCGGCCACACUGGGACUGAGACACGGCCCAGACUCCUACGGGAGGCAGCAGUAGGGAAUCUUCGGCAAUGGACGAAAGUCUGACCGAGCAACGCCGCGUGAGUGAAGAAGGUUUUCGGAUCGUAAAGCUCUGUUGUAAGUCAAGAACGUGUGUGAGAGUGGAAAGUUCACACAGUGACGGAGCUACCA